AUUGACUACCUAAUUGAGUGCCACCUAUGCAUUGGGGUCUAUUUUAAUUAAUACAAAAUUAAGGUUACAUCUUUUCAAAUGUUCCUCAAUUAAUGUAUAGGGGAUUAGCGUAACAUUUAUUAUAUUAAUUUGUUAGUUCUAAAAAUAGAGAAAUGCUGUGCAUUUCAAUAUGUAUUUUAUAUCUAAUAUAUUAAGAUACACGUAUUUUUCUUGAAACUUUGGUUUUGUGAGAUUGUGUAAGCGUUUAAGUUAAGAGUUUAUUUAUUUUAUGUAAAUUUGCCUUUAAGCAAAUCCAAUUUGAAAGAUUCGGACAUGGAAAAAGGAUAAGUCAACGGCAACACCAAGAUUUGUUGGUCCACGGAAAAGGAUCUUUUUAGUAUUAGUUUGUUAAUGUACAAAAAAAUACAGAUGACUCGACUGAAAUGAUUUACCAUAGUGGUCAAGAACAAAUGUCAAAACUAAUACUCUAGGCCCAAAAAAAAAAAAAAAAAAAAAAACUCUAGGCCCUAAGAUUUCAGUGUUUGAUGGAUACGUUUCUCUGUAUUUCCUUCAUUUUUAUUUGUUUCUACUUCUUGUUCAUUUUCAUUUUUUGACCAUACAACAAAAUUUCAAAUGUCUUAUUGCAGUAAGAAUGUAUCUACAGUUGUAUACCCUCUUGGCCUCUUCAUUCGAUGGACUAGGCGACUAGCUGUAUGCUUUCUAACAUGAGAAAUCUAGUGUGUAGACAAGUAGACCGCAGUGCAUUGCCUCCGAUAAAUGAGUGAGUCAUCUUGUCUUUUGAGAUAAAACCGCGACAUAAAAUUGUCUCGGUGUUGAAAGCCUUCAAGCAGAAAAAAAUUGUCUCGGUGAGUUUGAGAUGGAUGCUUCUGCUCAGCCAUCUUAUUUUGUAUUUACAUGUUUCUGGAUGUUCGUUUUAAUUAGUCUACAAAAACAAAAC
rnacentral:lncRNA from 1 species